rnacentral:rRNA from 1 species
AACGAACGCUGGCGGCAUGCCUAACACAUGCAAGUCGAACGAGACCUUCGGGUCUAGUGGCGCACGGGUGCGUAACGCGUGGGAACCUGCCCUUAGGUUCGGAAUAACUCCCCGAAAGGGGUGCUAAUACCGGAUAAUGUCUUCGGACCAAAGAUUUAUCGCCUUUGGAUGGGCCCGCGUUGGAUUAGCUAGUUGGUAGGGUAAAAGCCUACCAAGGCGACGAUCCAUAGCUGGUCUGAGAGGAUGAUCAGCCACACUGGGACUGAGACACGGCCCAGACUCCUACGGGAGGCAGCAGUGGGGAAUAUUGGACAAUGGGCUAAAUCCUGAUCCAGCAAUGCCGCGUGAGUGAUGAAGGCCUUAGGGUUGUAAAGCUCUUUUACCCGGGAUGAUAAUGACAGUACCGGGAGAAUAAGCACCGGCUAACUCCGUG